GUGGAAUUUUUACGGUGGGUACACAUGAUGUACUGAUGCCUCUUAGUUAUGCCUGUGCUUCUUAGGAGGGAUGUGGGAGCUGCUGAGUCCAUCUGCCCCAGCCCCGACUGUCCAUGCAGCAACACAGCCCAUACAGACAGGGUGGCUUGCCCAUGGUCCCUAGCUGUUGCAGGAAGGGCUGGCCCUGGGCCCUGGGGUCUCCUGACCCCUGCAUGGUGCUCUGCCCAUCAUGGCUGCGGGGAUCCUCAGCCCCCCAGCUUUUGUCAGCCGCCUUUGUUCUCCAGUAAUGGUCUUGGGUGGUAGUUAAGUGCUUUGGUGACCUGUGUGUGUGAUGCUCACAAUAAAACAAGGGGCAAACGUGGGUUCGCUGUGACUUUCCCUAGAAAUUUCCUACGACCCUCGCAUUCCUCAAUCCAGCAGCAACCUUGUGCAAAGAAAAGAGGAAGGCCUUGGAGUCUGAGGACGUCUGCCAUUUGGGACACGUGGCCAGUCCCCUUGGUCCAUUCCUCUGUGAAGGGGAAGAGUACUUUGGCUUCGGGCUUCCUGGGAUAGCAUGAGACGGUGACUGACAAGCAUUCAGCACACACCAAGCUUUCCACGUGUGGCCACCUGCCUGUGUCCUCUUCCUGCUCCUGAUCAUCCUUUCUCCUCAUUUCAUGCACCCCUUUCCUCCUCCUCCUUUUCCUUCUUUGCAAAUAAAUGUGUCCGCUGCUUCUGAUUCAGCUACAUUCAUAUCCUUAGUUCAUGUGAGUUUGAAAAUAGUGGUUGGCAAUAUUGACGCAGACGUCUUGUGAAAGAAAUGUGGGUUGGGCCAGGGUCAUUGAAAGUUGAAAGUCACCAGUAUUAUUGGUGAUUUAAUUUUGGGUCGGAAGAACAGGAAAACACCAACCUAAACAGAGGCCUGGUAAGUGCCACCCUGAAGGACUUCACAGUGUAGAAGGUGCGGUUGACUGGCAGCUCCC
rnacentral:lncRNA from 1 species